CCAGUUGCAGUUGAAAUUAUAAUACAGAAACUAAAUUAUCUGUACUCUGGCUUAUUUCAUUAAUGGAAAGAAUUAAGUUACUGGACUGUUAGUCAGAAGAUGAUAUAUAAUGUUUCUUACUUUGCACUGCAUAGAGUAUUAAUUUUUACUAAAGAUAUCUAUAUAUUUGUGGCUUAAUCGAUUUUGGUUUAAUGUGCUUGAUUAAAAACACAGAUCUGGUGAUAAGAUCCAUUUUGUGGUUAUUGUUCUAAGACGUCAGCGCUAUCAGUUUUUGGUCUGAGAUCAGUUCCCCCCUUCGGCCCAGCCCGUUUUCUGGCUUCAUGUACUUUCUGAAAUCUGGGUAGAACCUCAGAAGAAAAGGAGGCUGCUUGCAGGAGAAAGAGCAAGCACUUUCUCCUCCGUUGCCAAGACAGACUUUGUAAGAUAGAGUAGGGCGCUGAGUGAACAUAUAGAAUUUAUGUCUGGCAUUUUCACUUCUUUUCAAUAAUUCCAAAUUAUAGUGCAACCCAAUUAAAAUUAAAACAUUUUUAAAAUGAAUAAUUUUAUUUAUGCAUAUUUAAAAACAUACAUCCUUUAAAUCUUUGGAAAGAAGACCAAAUAAAAAUAGGCAAUGUAACAUAUGUGUGGUCUGUACGGUAUUGCUGUCAAGGUGAAUUGUUGCCAUGGUUGAGGAGAAUUAUGCCAUAUGUUGGAAUGUUAGAAAACAUCCAGCACAUGCUAUAAAAUAGUGCCUGGAAUUAGAAUAGAUCGUGACCUCAUAG